GGUAGACAAGGAUUACAAAACAAUGAACUCAGUUAUUCCACCAAUGUAGGAACUGUAUUGAUUCUUUUGAUGAAGCUACAUUAGUUAGUUAUUCCCAAUAUAGGUGGUUGUAGUUGGAUUAUGAACUUUUUUGUGAGUGAUAAUUUCUGGUUUAAUCCCCUAAAUGUUCUUUUUUCAUAGCAAAAAACAAAUAUUUUGCACCUCAUGCUUGAAACUGAAUCUUUCUAUUGUGUUUUCCUGAUUUAUAUAGAAGGGUGGUAACUAUUUCUGUACACAAACCAAUUUUCCAUGUUAAGAGAGAUUGAAAGAUGUAGUAGUGUUGCGGAGGUUGAGUGUUCAUUCAUAUUCCUGUUUAUAUGUUGGUCAUUUUGCUGCUUCAUGUUGCAGAGUUUCAUUGGGAGAGAGCUUGGAUGGAAUAAGGGGAGCCUUUGACUAUAUGUAAGACAUGACGGGAUGGCUGGAACGGCUGCUGCAUCGAAUAAUAGAAUUGGGAGGUGGCAUGUUUGAAGAAUGGCUCGAACAUGUCUCAAUGGUACCUGUUGAAACUUGUACCGGAGUUCAUCUUGGAACGAAACUCUUGUUUGCAAAUGGCAAUCCAGCUUUUGACUGUGACUCUGACUGGUGUUGCUAAUGAACAUGGCGUGUUGCAAGAACUGUACUGACAUUUUUCUGCACCCUUGCAGUACUGUUAUUUGCUAGUAGUAUAGGUGGAUGUCCACCAUCCCUUUUGCAUGGUAAACAUUGUGAUCUAAAUGAAGCUAUAUGCGUUGUGAGUCGAUUUGACUUUGCACUGAA